rnacentral:rRNA from 3 species
GACAGGUGCUGCAUGGCUGUCGUCAGCUCGUGUUGUGAAAUGUUGGGUUAAGUCCCGCAACGAGCGCAACCCUUAUCCUUUGUUGCCAGCGAUUAGGUCGGGAACUCAAAGGAGACUGCCAGUGAUAAACUGGAGGAAGGUGGGGAUGACGUCAAGUCAUCAUGGCCCUUACGACCAGGGCUACACACGUGCUACAAUGGCGCAUACAAAGAGAAGCGACCUCGCGAGAGCAAGCGGACCUCAUAAAGUGCGUCGUAGUCCGGAUUGGAGUCUGCAACUCGACUCCAUGAAGUCGGAAUCGCUAGUAAUCGUGGAUCAGAAUGCCACGGUGAAUACGUUCCCGGGCCUUGUACACACCGCCCGUCACACCAUGGGAGUGGGUUGCAAAAGAAGUAGGUAGCUUAACCUUCGGGAGGGCGCUUACCACUUUGUGAUUCAUGACUGGGGUGAAGUCGUAACAAGGUAACCGUAGGGGAACCUGCGGUUGGA